GGAUGUGAGGGCGAUCUGGCUGCGACAUCUGUCACCCCAUUGAUCGCCAGGGUUGAUUCGGCUGAUCUGGCUGGCUAGGAGGGUGUCCCCUUCCUCCCUCACCGCUCCAUGUGCGUCCCUCCCGAAGCUGAGCGCUCGGUGGAAGAGGACGGCCUUCCCCGAAUAGAGACAGACUGGUCUUCGGUCAAGGGUAUACGAGUAGCUGCGCUCCCCUGCUAGAACCUGCAAACAAGCUCUCAAACUGGAUUUGAACCAUGAGACAGUCUGCUGAACCUACUGAUAUGCGGGGCUAGACAAUUUCUUCUUCCUUUCUUU
rnacentral:snRNA from 1 species